rnacentral:rRNA from 1 species
UUUAUGGAGAGUUUGAUCCUGGCUCAGAGUGAACGCUGGCGGCGUGCCUAAUACAUGCAAGUCGAACGAUGAAGCUUCUAGCUUGCUAGAGUGCUGAUUAGUGGCGCACGGGUGAGUAACGCAUAGGUCAUGUGCCUCUUAGUUUGGGAUAGCCAUUGGAAACGAUGAUUAAUACCAGAUACUCCCUACGGGGGAAAGAUUUAUCGCUAAGAGAUCAGCCUAUGUCCUAUCAGCUUGUUGGUAAGGUAAUGGCUUACCAAGGCUAUGACGGGUAUCCGGCCUGAGAGGGUGAACGGACACACUGGAACUGAGACACGGUCCAGACUCCUACGGGAGGCAGCAGUAGGGAAUAUUGCUCAAUGGGGGAAACCCUGAAGCAGCAACGCCGCGUGGAGGAUGAAGGUUUUAGGAUUGUAAACUCCUUUUGUUAGAGAAGAUAAUGACGGUAUCUAACGAAUAAGCACCGGCUAACUCCGUGCCAGCAGCCGCGGUAAUACGGAGGGUGCAAGCGUUACUCGGAAUCACUGGGCGUAAAGAGCGCGUAGGCGGGAUAGUCAGUCAGGUGUGAAAUCCUAUGGCUUAACCAUAGAACUGCAUUUGAAACUACUAUUCUAGAGUGUGGGAGAGGUAGGUGGAAUUCUUGGUGUAGGGGUAAAAUCCGUAGAGAUCAAGAGGAAUACUCAUUGCGAAGGCGACCUGCUGGAACAUUACUGACGCUGAUUGUGCGAAAGCGUGGGGAGCAAACAGGAUUAGAUACCCUGGUAGUCCACGCCCUAAACGAUGGAUGCUAGUUGUUGGAGGGCCUAGUCUCUCCAGUAAUGCAGCUAACGCAUUAAGCAUCCCGCCUGGGGAGUACGGUCGCAAGAUUAAAACUCAAAGGAAUAGACGGGGACCCGCACAAGCGGUGGAGCAUGUGGUUUAAUUCGAAGAUACACGAAGAACCUUACCUAGGCUUGACAUUGAGAGAAUCCGCUAGAAAUAGUGGAGUGUCUAGCUUGCUAGACCUUGAAAACAGGUGCUGCACGGCUGUCGUCAGCUCGUGUCGUGAGAUGUUGGGUUAAGUCCCGCAACGAGCGCAACCCCCUUUCUUAGUUGCUAACAGGUUAUGCUGAGAACUCUAAGGAUACUGCCUCCGUAAGGAGGAGGAAGGUGGGGACGACGUCAAGUCAUCAUGGCCCUUACGCCUAGGGCUACACACGUGCUACAAUGGGGUGCACAAAGAGAAGCAAUACUGCGAAGUGGAGCCAAUCUUCAAAACACCUCUCAGUUCGGAUUGUAGGCUGCAACUCGCCUGCAUGAAGCUGGAAUCGCUAGUAAUCGCAAAUCAGCCAUGUUGCGGUGAAUACGUUCCCGGGUCUUGUACUCACCGCCCGUCACACCAUGGGAGUUGUGUUUGCCUUAAGUCAGGAUGCUAAAUUAGCUACUGCCCACGGCACACACAGCGACUGGGGUGAAGUCGUAACAAGGUAACCGUAGGUGAACCUGCGGUUGGAUCACCUCCUUUCUAGA